GCACUAAUAAAAAUUUAAUAUCAUAAAACAAAUCAGAAAACAGCAAAAACAUCUUUUUUAACCAUUCACAAUUAAAGUGGAAAGAGACAAAAAUUAUAAGGCAGCCAUCCGUGGAAUGAUUUCAUGUUUACAAAGGAUCCAGAAAAAGGGGACAUUUAAAAUCACCAUUUAGGCUACCAAACCAGGGGGACUGCAGUGUUAGCCCAUGAGAUUUCUCACUUAGUAGAAGAUGCUAUGAGAAAACAGAUCAAAGUCAACCUCCUUGUGUUAGGCUGAGCAUAUCUAGAAAAUUCCUAAUGCCUGUCGAGCCCUUUCAUGCAAGUCAUACAUUUCCCUCAGGUCUUCUCAGGUGAAUCUAGACGUCUCAGGUACAAAGGGGCUACAUGACUGGUUUUAAUUUCAUAGCAUCUCAAACAGUGCUCUUUGGGUAAUGUGGACCAUUCUGUGUUGAGCAAAAAAUCCUGUAAUGCAA
rnacentral:lncRNA from 1 species